rnacentral:lncRNA from 1 species
UGUAAAAUGUUGAGUUGUGAUAUCCUGUUUGCAGAUUCACUCUGUUUCCUCUGUGUGCCCAUUGCUUUCUUGCAGUAGAACUGUCAACUAAGCUGCAGGCACAACAGAAGAAUUUUAUCUGAAGGCAACACACAUAUAUAGUUGAAGUAACAGUAGUGAUGAGCAAAAUCAACACGUACAGUUUACUGAAUGGCAUGGCAAGUUGUGAAAUCUCUUCAGCAAGAAAUUGGGACGUUCUCACGUGCAGCUCAAAUACGAUUAAGCCUGUUCCAGUCACAAAUUUAUACUGCAAAAACAAAGCAGGAAGCAGCAGAUUGUGCGUGUGCAGGACAUGUCUGACAAUCAGGCAUUUUUUUUCUCUCUGCAAUGUACACAGAUUUGAGAACGUGGGGAUGACUGCUCAUUGUCCCCAUGGCGACCUCGACUGAAUCACUGAUGAACCAACAAUUGCUUCAUUCAUGCUGUGUCCCCUUCUCUGAACCUGGACAGAGGCCUUCUCUGAACCUGGACAGAGGAAAGCUGUUUGCAGAUUGCAAGAGAUUAUGUGGUCUUUAUUAAUAUACAGUAUUUCAGAUCUCAUCUCCUUGUGCGACCUGGCAAUUAAAGAAAGAGAAUUAUGAUCUUGAUGAAGGGUGAAAGAAUCAAAGAAAUACUAGCUACACCUAUCACUGUCCGUGUUCUCCGAUUUGUCCCUCCACAGGGUUUGCUUAAUCUGGUUUAGAUGUAUACAAACCCUGCGCCACCGACGCGUCGGCGAGCAGAGCCUGACGGGAGACCGGAGACGGCAAUCCAUCAAGCAAACAGCAGCAGCGUGGCAGUCGACGGCGGUGGUGGAUCUAGGUCUUUGUAGGGGAAAAAAAAAGAGAGGAUAGUUUCCGUCCACCCUGGAGGAAAAGAUCACAUAUACCUUUUGAAACGGAUAAUUCUCGUAUAAUUUGGAUAUUGA